UACGUAGGGGGCAAGCGUUGUCCGGAAUCAUUGGGCGUAAAGGGCGCGUAGGCGGUGCGGUAAGUCUGCAGUGAAAUCUCUGGGCUCAACUCAGAGUCUGCUGUAGAAACUGCCGUGCUUGAGUGUGGGAGAGGUGAGUGGGAAUUCCCGGUGUAGCGGUGAAAUGCGCAGAUAUCGGGAAGAACACCCGUGGCGAAGGCGGCUCUCUGGGACGGUACUGGACGCUGAGACGCGAAAGCGUGGGGAGCGAACAGG
rnacentral:rRNA from 1 species